rnacentral:rRNA from 1 species
AGAGUUUGAUCCUGGCUUAGAACGAACGCUGGUGGCGUGUCUUAUACAUGCAAGUCGAGCGAGGCAGCAAUGCCGAGCGGCGAACGGGUGAGUAACGCGUAAGCAAUCUGCCCCAUAUCAGGAAAUACCCGUGCCAACGCGCGGUUAAUGUCCAGGAGAGUGGCCCUCCGCAUGGAGGGCUGACUAGAGAUUCAUCGGUAUGGGAUGAGCUUGCGUCCGAUUAGCUAGUUGGCGGGGCAACGGCCCACCAAGGCGACGAUCGGUAGCCGGCCUGAGAGGGUGAUCGGCCACAUUGGGACUGAGAUACGGCCCAGACUCCUACGGGAGGCAGCAGUAGGGAAUAUUGCACAAUGGGGGAAACCCUGAUGCAGCAACGCCACGUGUGGGAAGAAGCAUUUCGGUGUGUAAACCACUGUCAUGAGGGAAUAAGGCCCGCCUUCGGACGGGAUUGAAUGUACCUUGAGAGGAAGCACCGGCAAACUUCGUGCCAGCCGCGGC